CUCUCUAUGACAACCGUGACACCCGAAGCCAAAUCUAGUUGACAAACCCUGUUUUAUAGUAUGUCAUGGCCUUUUCUGGCCAACUGCUGUUAUGUUUAUGAUAUACUAUGGUAUUGUGUCACUAGACUUUGACCAGAUAUUAUUGCAUCCAAAGAUCAACUGUACCUAGAACAUAGAUACAGAGACACUUGUCAUCAGGAAGCUGCUCUCUCAGCACAACGGAAAAUAUGACUUGACAUGUUCUGGUUGUGAAUUCAGGCUACAAGGGGUCAGUGCUCUAAAAUGAGUCUCUCUGUGGAGAGAGAGGAGGGGGGCCCUGCCUCUAAAAUUAGUCUCUCUGGGGAGAGAGAGGAGGGGGGCCCUGCCUCUAAAAUUAGUCUCUCUGGGGAACAUGACAACAAAGCUAAGAGGAGAGAGACGUGACUAUUGUGGAUCCUCUGGGGAGCCUCAACAACCUCAUGAUGCUGACGAGGCAGAGAAGAGUCUCUGCUCUGACUGUGGGAAGAGAUUCACCUCAUCAGGCAUUAAAA